ACAUACGACCACAGAUAGAUGAAAAAUCGGCUUCCCGUCCGAUCAGCCAUGAUAAUCAUCUAAUCGCUACACUAGUACUCAAGUUGGUGACAAUUGGGGAAUCCGUAGUGUUGUAUGUUUUU
rnacentral:rRNA from 1 species